AACGAACGCUGGCGGCAUGCCUAACACAUGCAAGUCGAACGGGACCUUCGGGUUUGGUGGCGCACGGGGGCGUAGCGCGGUGGAACCUGCCCUUAAGUUCGGAAUAACUCCCCGGAAAGCGUGCUAGUACCGGCUCAUGUACUCCAACCGAAGUUUGAACGCCUUUGGGUGGGCCGGAGUGGGAUUGCCUAGAUGGUAGGGUAAAAGCCUACCACGGCGAGGAGCCAUAACUGGUCUGAGAGGCUGAGCCGCCACACUGGGACGGAGACACGGCCCAGAAUCCUACGGGAGGCAGCAGUGGGGAAUAUAGGACAACGGGGGAAAGCCUGAUCCAGCAAGGCCGCGUGAGCGAUGAAGGUUGUAGGGUUGUAAAGUUAUUUUAUCCGGGAUGAUAAUGACAGUACCGGGAGAAUAAGCUCCGGCUAACUUCGUG
rnacentral:rRNA from 1 species